ACCAUGGGGCCAGGGCCACUGCCAGGAGAUGGGGGAAAGGUGGCAUUGGCAAUUUUAGGCUGCCUUUACUAAUGUCUUCAAUGCCUCUUUCUGUGAUAUGAAGAUAAAACCAGGAUAUUACACCUUCAUACUUCACACAAUCUUCUAAGACUAAAUGAAAUGGAGAUUGUAUUUCAUCUCUUCAUCUUAUUUCAACAUCCUCUACAAGCCUAUUUCCCAGUCUGUGGAAUAAGCAAGAUAAGACGACAGUUCCCUCUGGAGUGUAUCAAAACCUGC
rnacentral:lncRNA from 1 species